UCCCAGAAGUGGCCUUGCACGGCGGCGCUACUCGUGGUGGCGGCUGGAAGCCAGACCCGAUCAAAUCGAAAAACCGAAGCUUCGAUCGGUAUAUCUCGAGCUGUAGUGCAUCGUUUUGAUUGAUUCUUUUUCCAGUGGGUUCCCCUUGAUGUUGUUAACAACUCUCUAGAAGGCAUCGAGGCCUGAAAUUGAAGUUUUUACGUCGAUCGGAGCCCUCGCCGGAUUCUGCAAAAUUCUGCAAAUUUUCCGACCACCGAAGCUUUCGAUCGGUAUAUCUCGAGCUACAGACCAUAUUUUUCUGUGAUUCUUGAACCAAUGCGUUCGUCUUGAGUUUCUUAACAACUCUCUAGAAGGAAUCGAAGCCUGAAAUUGAAGUUUUGACGUCGAAAUCAAGCCUUGCCGGAUUCUGCAAAUUUCGCCGGAUUCUGGAAAUUUUCCGGCCACCUCGACUGUUCUAGGUUAUCGACGGAUUGAUUUGGUGGACGAUUCGGAUUGAUGUAUUUGGCUUUUUAGAAGACGCAGCUGGAUUAGAGGUUAUCGACGGAUUGAUUUGGUGGACGAUUCGGAUUGAUGUAUUUGGCUUUUUAGAAGACGCAGCUGGAUUAGAGCGGGAAAUCCUACAGGUCAGGAAGAUCAAGGCGGAGAUCGUGCGGGUUAGAGUUUUUGUUUCAGUUUACAGCUUUGUAAAUUGUGAGAUGUAUUAUUAAGAGGUGUGAAGUGUGGUUGUUGUGAGAAAAAAAUUCAGGACGUUUAUUCUAUUAAGUUGUAUAAUUCAUGUUUCGGAUUUUAAUUGUAUUUAAAAUUCGGGGCGUG